rnacentral:lncRNA from 1 species
AUACCACUAAAAAUGGAACAACAUGUAAUUAUGUGCUCAAUGUGAUGAAUAUGAAGUAGACUGCACCACUCUGCAGUACAGUCAGGAAAUAAGAAACCAAGUCCAAUCAAAAUAGCCCUAAAGCUACCUUCCAGUUUAUAAAAAGUAUGAAGAAUAGAGGGGCAAUUAAAUGAUACCAUAAAGAGUCAAAUACAGGGCAUGCAACAUAGCUGCUGAUUGGAUUUAUUCAACAUGUCAGUGGCAUGAAUACAAUAGGAGGCAGGUAGGGAGAAGGCACUACCCUGAAUUAUGAGACUGAAGAGAUAUAAUAAACAAAUGCAAUGUGUGGACUUGGUUGGGAUCUUCAUUCAAAGACCAACUAUAAAAAGACAUUGUUGUGAGAAUUGAGGAAAUUUGAAUGAGAAAUGUAUUUUUAUCUAAUUUGUUAGCUGUGAUAAUAGUAUUGUGGGAGUAAGAAGCUAUUCAUAUUUCUAUAUAUAUAUACCAAGUACAUAGGAGUGAAAUAAUACAAAAUCUGGAAUUUGCCUUAAAAUUCCUCUGCAAAAUUAUAAAAAAGAACGAUGACAAACUAAAAAGGUGUAGUAUUCUUCUAUGGCUGCUAUAACAAAUGACCAAAAAACAUAGUGACUGAAAAUAACCCACAUUUAUUAUCUUACAGUUCCAUAGGUUAGAAGUUCAACAUGGGUCUCAUGAGAUCAAAAGCAAGGCCUUGGCAGGGUGACGUUUCUUUCUGGAGGUUCCAGGGGGAACUCUGUUUUCUUACUUUUUUUAGAUUCUAGAGGCUUCCCACAAUCCUUGGCUUAAGGUCCAUCUUUAAAGACAGCAACGUUUCAUCUCUCUACCUAUUCUUUCAUCCUUACAUCUUUCUCUAACUAUUCCUUUUCUUCUGUCUUCCACUUUUAAGAGCCUUUUUGAGUCUAUUGAGGCCAACUGGACAAUCAAGGAUUAUCUCCCUAUGUUAAGGUCAAUUGAUUAGUGACCUAAUUCCAUCUACAAUCACAAUUCCUCUUUGCCAUAUAAUGUAAAAUAUUCAUACCUCUAAGGAUUAGGACAUGGACAUCUUUGAGGGUCAUUAGUCAUCUUACCACAGGAAGGAAGGAAGGAAGGAAGGAAGGAAGGAAGGAAGGAAGGAAGGAAGGAAAGGGAGGAGAGGAGAGGAGAGGUAGGAGGGAAGAAGAAAAAAAUAGUAUGAAAAAAUCUUGAUAAAUUUGAAAACUGGGUGAAUAAUAUGUGGAAUUCUCUCUAUUUUUGUUAAUGUUGGAAAAUUUAAUAAAAACAAUGAAC